rnacentral:rRNA from 1 species
CGAUGAACCUCCUUCGGGAGGGGAUUAGUGGCGAACGGGUGAGUAACACGUGGGCAAUCUGCCCUGCACUCUGGGACAAGCCCUGGAAACGGGGUCUAAUACCGGAUAUGAGCCUGGGAGGCAUCUCCCGGGUUGUAAAGCUCCGGCGGUGCAGGAUGAGCCCGCGGCCUAUCAGCUUGUUGGUGAGGUAACGGCUCACCAAGGCGACGACGGGUAGCCGGCCUGAGAGGGCGACCGGCCACACUGGGACUGAGACACGGCCCAGACUCCUACGGGAGGCAGCAGUGGGGAAUAUUGCACAAUGGGCGCAAGCCUGAUGCAGCGACGCCGCGUGAGGGAUGACGGCCUUCGGGUUGUAAACCUCUUUCAGCAGGGAAGAAGCGAAAGUGACGGUACCUGCAGAAGAAGCGCCGGCUAACUACGUGCCAGCAGCCGCGGUAAUACGUAGGGCGCAAGCGUUGUCCGGAAUUAUUGGGCGUAAAGAGCUCGUAGGCGGCUUGUCACGUCGGAUGUGAAAGCCCGGGGCUUAACCCCGGGUCUGCAUUCGAUACGGGCAGGCUAGAGUUCGGUAGGGGAGAUCGGAAUUCCUGGUGUAGCGGUGAAAUGCGCAGAUAUCAGGAGGAACACCGGUGGCGAAGGCGGAUCUCUGGGCCGAUACUGACGCUGAGGAGCGAAAGCGUGGGGAGCGAACAGGAUUAGAUACCCUGGUAGUCCACGCCGUAAACGGUGGGCACUAGGUGUGGGCAACAUUCCACGUUGUCCGUGCCGCAGCUAACGCAUUAAGUGCCCCGCCUGGGGAGUAC